rnacentral:lncRNA from 1 species
CUUUGGGAAAUACUCUCAGCUACUGACGAAAAUGGAGCUACUGAUUGAUUUAGGGCUUUGUCUAAUUUAGCAUAUUGAAUUAUUUCAGGCCCACAAGAAGGAGGAGGAUAUGCUGAUGACAGCAUGUUCAGGCCUGUGUAUUCAACCAAUGUGUUAGACUAGGGAUCCGUGCCAGACACAGCACUUGGCCAUGCAAAGUGAUGCUCCCAAACAGGGCAUUGGAGGAGACUCAGCUCAGCAAAGCUGCAGGUAGAGCAGAGCUCAUUGCCACUGUUUUCCAUAUGUUCCUCUCUAUGGGGGCCUGACUGGACCUCGACCUGAGGAGGAUGCGAAACGGAAACUUAAUGGAGAAGCAAGUCCCACCCCCAGGACUUUUUGUCAGAAGCACGGCAAGGAACUUCAGUUUGGCUUUCAAAAGUGCUGAACACCCAAAACUCCUACCAAGGCUUCCUGGAAUUACAGCUCAAAAAUCCAGGUCUUGGGAUGAAGUGCAGAAGCUGAAGCCUGCUAGCCGGUUGACUGUUCAUACAAGAUACUCUUCGAAUGUUCAUAGCUAUAGUCAGAGGACAGCCAGAUAA